GUCAGUAUGGCCGAGUGGUCUAAGGCGCCAGACUCAAGAUCUGGUACACGUAUGUGUGCGUGGGUUCGAAUCCCACUGCUGACA